rnacentral:rRNA from 1 species
CUCAGAUUGAACGCUAGCGGGAUGCCUUACACAUGCAAGUCGAACGGCAGCACGGACUUCGGUCUGGUGGCGAGUGGCGAACGGGUGAGUAACGUAUCGGAACGUGCCUAGUAGCGGGGGAUAACUACGCGAAAGCGUAGCUAAUACCGCAUACGCCCUACGGGGGAAAGCAGGGGAUCGCAAGACCUUGCACUAUUAGAGCGGCCGAUAUCGGAUUAGCUAGUUGGUGGGGUAACGGCUCACCAAGGCGACGAUCCGUAGCUGGUUUGAGAGGACGACCAGCCACACUGGGACUGAGACACGGCCCAGACUCCUACGGGAGGCAGCAGUGGGGAAUUUUGGACAAUGGGGGAAACCCUGAUCCAGCCAUCCCGCGUGUGCGAUGAAGGCCUUCGGGUUGUAAAGCACUUUUGGCAGGAAAGAAACGUCGCGGGUUAAUACCCCGCGAAACUGACGGUACCUGCAGAAUAAGCACCGGCUAACUACGUGCCAGCAGCCGCGGUAAUACGUAGGGUGCAAGCGUUAAUCGGAAUUACUGGGCGUAAAGCGUGCGCAGGCGGUUCGGAAAGAAAGAUGUGAAAUCCCAGAGCUUAACUUUGGAACUGCAUUUUUAACUACCGAGCUAGAGUGUGUCAGAGGGAGGUGGAAUUCCGCGUGUAGCAGUGAAAUGCGUAGAUAUGCGGAGGAACACCGAUGGCGAAGGCAGCCUCCUGGGAUAACACUGACG